rnacentral:lncRNA from 1 species
UGUAGCUUCAAAGGAUCGAGCUGAAGUCUCCUGUGCAACCAAGUCUACAUAGAUUUUUACCAGUAAAAUUAAUAAGGCCCGUUUGGGGGGGAGCCGAGGAACAACCUGGGCUUGUUUCCAAAGCACUUUUGGAGAGAAGUCACAGCUGCUUGCAGCAGUACAGAAGAAGACAUGCUCAGCUACACCCUUAUCAGGAUGUGUCUGUGAUUAUUAACAUCAGUGAUCUGCCUAAUUGAGAAAUUCAGAAAGAAGAAAGGACAAGCCCGUGCUUCAUUCCUUCUGUAGUUUUGCCCAAUGAGCAGCUUAGAAAUAAACCCAGC